CGCGGGUCCAUCCUGGGCCCUUGGUAGGAACGUCGGCUCCGGAUGAACACAUUUGGAGACGACGUUUGCCAGAGAAUCGCUCCCCCCUUUCUGCAGACGUUAGGCAAUAUUCCUCCGCUUUGUCUUCAUUUCCAGGAAGAGAAGGUAGAUGUUCGAAACCCAUGGUCCUGCGGGGUGGACUGACGCCUCUGCAGACGACACCGGGAGGGCUCGCCCUGGAAGGAGCAGGGCUCAGAAAGGCACAGAAACCAAGCCAAGCUCUGCUCUCAGUCUCCAGCCAUGUCUUCUGCGUGGGAAAAAAAAAGCGAUGCCAUUAUGGAAUCAUUUUUCCUCCCGCCUCGGCCGAUAGAUAAAUAAGGGUUUCCAGGAAAGAAGAUGCGCCCAAAGCGUCCCCCAUUUCUCGCGAGGAAAACCACAGGCGAGCUCGUCCUGCAGGGCUGGGCUGGGCUGGGCUGGGCUGGGGGAGGAGGGGGCCACACGAGCGGCUCAGCUCCCUGCCUGGGCCCGGAGCAGAGUGGCGAGGGGAUUGUUGCAGCUGUCUUACUUUAACAAGUCUGAUGGAGGAGGCACUGAGACAGUAAGUGACUUUUUCCCCGUUUCCUUCAAAAGUCAGGUGUUAAAAAGCAAAGGAGUUCUUCCAGGACGGCCCGCUGUUUCUUCUGUCUCCCAGAGGAGGCGGUGGGCAUCCCCUUGGUCUGAGGGCAGCUCUGCUCUGCCUGCCUCACUUCUCCUUCCUCCCUACUCCCCGGCUUGCCAGAAAGCCCUGUCAUUCCUGCCAGGUCUUUGAGUCAACCCAUCAACCCUUGAGGUGCAGAGAACUGACUCCACUUCCUCACCAUGGCGAUGCUCUGGCUCCAGCAUAUCUUGAGGGCGUUUGGUCAACCCAGUGUGGCCACCCCUACCUCUUGGAUGGCCUUUCGUCUUCAUUUGAUUCCUACAUACCUCAAGAGCAGUGUGCUGGACAAACGACGACCCCCAAAGAUGUCCACAUCCCAGUCCUGGAAACUGUGACUACGUAGAUUACACGGCAAAGGAGAGAGAAGGUUACAGGUGGAAUUAAGGCUGAUAAUCUGUUGACUUUAAAAUAGGAAGAUAAAUGGUGUGCAAAUAUUUUUUCCCAGUUGGUGGGUUGUCUUUUCGUUUUUUUCGUGGUUUCCUUUGCUUUGCAGAAGCUUUUUAGUCUGAUGCAGUUCCAUUUGUUAACUUUUUCUUUUUUUCCCUUGCCUGAGUAGACAUGGUAUUCUAAAAGAUGUUGCUAAGAUCAAUGUUAAAGAGAGUACUGCCUAUAUUUUCUUCUAAGAGUUUUAUGGUUUCAGGUCUUACAUUCAAAUCUUUAAUCCAUUUAUCAGACAAAGGAUUGACCUCCAAAAUACAUAAAGAACUCAUACAAGUCAACAAAAAAAAGCCAAACAACCCAAUCAAAAAAUGGGCAGAGGAUAUGAACGGUCAUUUUUCCAAAGAAGAUAUACAGAUGGCUAAUAGACACAUGAAACAAUGUUAAACAUCACUAAUUAUUAGAGAAAUGCAAAUCAAAACUACAAUGAGAUAUCAGAAUGGCUAUAAUUACCAAGACAAAAAACAACAAAUACUGGAGAAGAUGUGGAGAAAAGCGAACCCUCAUACACUGCUGGUGGGAAUGCAAGCUGGUGCAGCCACUAUGUAAAACAGUAUGGAGAUUUCUCAAAAAAUUGACUAGAACUACCAUAUGAUCCAGCUAUCCCACUACUGGGUAUUUAUCCAAAGAACUUAAGAUCAAUGAUCCAGAGACUUUUGCGCCCUAUGUUCAUUGCAGCAUUAUUCACAAUAGCCAAGAUAUGGAAGCAACCCAAGUGCCCAUUGACUGAUGAAUGGAUAAAGAAGAUGCAUAUAUGUACAAUGGAAUACUACUAAGCUGUAAAAAAAAAGACAAAAUCAUCCCAUUUGCAACAACAUGGGUGGACCUUGAGGGUAUGAUGUUAAGCCAAAAAGCCAGACAGACAAAGACACAUACUGCAUGAUUUCACUCAUAUGUGGAAGAUAACAAAUUCAUGGAUGAAGAGAACAGAUUAGUGGUUACCAGAGGGAAAGGAGGUUGGGGGUUGGGACAAAGGGAUAAAGGGGCACAUAUGUAUGGUGAUGGAUAAAAAUUAGACUACUGGGGGUAAGCAUGAUGAAGUGUAUUCAGAAACUGAUGAAAAAUAAUGUGCACCCGAAAUUACACAAUGUUAUAAACCGUCAUGAUCUCAACAAAAUUACUUGGAAAAAAAAUAGAGAGAUUAUCCAAGUGGGCCCAGCGUAAUCCCCAGGGUACGUAAAAGUGGAAAGGGGAUAAGAAGAGAGAGCCAGAGAGACAGCAAUGUGGGAAGGGCUCAGCCUGAAGAUGCUGGCUUUGAAGAGGAAGGAAUGGCCCACAAGCCAAGGAAUGCAAGUGGCUUUUAGAAGCUGGAAAAGGCAAGGAAAUGGAUUGUCCCCUAGCAUCUCCGGAAACAAAUGCAGCCUACUGACACCUUGAUCUUAGUACAGUGAGAUUCCUGUUGGACUUCUGAUGCCCAGCACGUCUGCCUUAAGUAUGACAGCUAGCCUUCUGAGGAUGGUUUCAUCUGUGGGACACAUAAACUCACACCCUGAGCUAUACUGAUGUGUUAUUGCGAGCAGCUUGAUUUCCAGCCUCAUCCAGACAAGCGUGAGCCUGGAGCGCAUCCGUUACACCCUCAAUGGGACGGCGAGGCACACACCGGUGACCCACGCUGGGCUUUGAAGGUCCUAAGUUGAGCCCCUACACGGCACCCUCACCUGGUCUGUGCUUCAAGUUACAUAGGAGACGGAAGUGCGAGAAGUACUAGCUAUCAAAGAGACCUAACAAUAAUCCUAGUAAUUGUAUGAGAUGGAAUGAAUGGUUCGGAAAGUGCCUGAUUGAACAACGUAUGAGUAAGCUGGUGAUACAAGGGCUCAACAGAAGAGAGAAGAGGAUUAAAAACAGGCAUGCACAGGAAAAGAGAGAGGUGACAAAAGAAGCCACCUACACAGACUCUUCAGCUGGUCGUGAUGGUAAUCAAGCCUUAUGUGAACCCCAAGCCACUGGGGUUAGCAUCUUUAGAUAAACUCUUAUUGGAAUCCUGCAAAAAUUGACUUCUGUUAUUUAAAGUGGAUAUUUGAGUGCAAAAGAAGCAGAAGCAAAACCAAAGUUUCUAUAUUGGCAUAGAGCAUCCAAACCGUUACUAACGGAGCUUCUGAGGCUUCCUUCAUUCAGAUCAUCCCGCUACGUGGCCUGCUUGGAUUGAGAUGGGCACAUUCAAGAGAAUGACCCAGGGAUUUCACGUGAUAGUAAUGAUCUCAGGAGGAAAAGUUUGGUGUUUUAAUAAAAGAAAAGGUCUCACUAGAGGUGCUAAGCUAAUGAAAAAACGUGCUAAUAAACCCGUAAUGCAGAC
ensembl:lncRNA